rnacentral:rRNA from 1 species
CCUACGGGAGGCGGCAGUGGGGAAUAUUGGACAAUGGGCGAAAGCCUGAUCCAGCAAUGCCGCGUGAGUGAUGAAGGCCUUAGGGUUGUAAAGCUCUUUUACCAGGGAUGAUAAUGACAGUACCUGGAGAAUAAGCUCCGGCUAACUCCGUGCCAGCAGCCGCGGUAAUACGGAGGGAGCUAGCGUUGUUCGGAAUUACUGGGCGUAAAGCGUACGUAGGCGGUUAUUCAAGUCAGAGGUGAAAGCCCGGGGCUCAACCCCGGAACUGCCUUUGAAACUAGAUAGCUAGAAUCUUGGAGAGGUUAGUGGAAUUCCGAGUGUAGAGGUGAAAUUCGUAGAUAUUCGGAAGAACACCAGUGGCGAAGGCGACUAACUGGACAAGUAUUGACGCUGAGGUACGAAAGCGUGGGGAGCAAACAGGAUUAGAUACCCUGGUAGUCCACGCCGUAAACGAUGAUAACUAGUUGUUCGGGCACUUGGUGCCUGAGUGACGCAGCUAACGCAUUAAGUUAUCCGCCUGGGGAGUACGGUCGCAAGAUUAAAACUCAAAGGAAUUGACGG